UACGAAGGGUGCAAGCGUUACUCGGAAUUACUGGGCGUAAAGCGUGCGUAGGUGGUUUGUUAAGUCUGCUGUGAAAGCCCCGGGCUCAACCUGGGAAUGGCAGUGGAUACUGGCAAGCUAGAGUGCGGUAGAGGGGUGUGGAAUUCCCGGUGUAGCGGUGAAAUGCGUAGAGAUCGGGAGGAACACCAGUGGCGAAGGCGGAUCUCUGGGCCAUUACUGACGCUGAGGAGCGAAAGCGUGGGGAGCGAACAGG
rnacentral:rRNA from 1 species